GAAAUAAAGGUAAAGUGUUGAAAAUGUAUCGAUCUUCUUCUUCACUUCUGAAUGGAGAUCGAUUUUGCCAUUGCUCAUCCUCAUCUGCAAUCUAAGGUGCUCAUGAUGUGUUGAAUCUUCUUUUCCCUCUUUUGCUUCACCUCUUUAAGCCGGUUGAUUUUGUUUUACAGAUUUGAAUCUUUGUUGAGUAAGCUUGAGCUGAAAUUUGUCCUCUCCCUUCCGAUUUAGGAACUGCAUUUGUGAGCUUUUAUGCCGGCUAUUAAAGCUAUGGAUCUUGAUUUGCAUUUGUAUCACCCAGAGAAUGAUUGUACCGAGUAUUUCAUCUGGUAUUGCAGCUUCCUCUUGCUUUGGUUCCUCUUUCUUGGGCCUAAAUUUAGGAUGCAUCACCCAACAACCUUGUAAAUCAUGCCACUGUAAUUUACAGUUUGUGCAAUAUUUAGGUAGAUAGUCAUAUUGUAUUGUUUGCCAUUUGGACUGUAUCUCCCCACUCUCCUCAUCCACACAACUAAUAUGGAUUCUCUUUGGCAUUUCUUUAAGUAGGUCCACUUGCACUUUGACACGAGCACAACUUGGCCUCGUCCGGUUAGUUGUUGCUUUGUCAAUAACCAAAGGAAUUCC